CAGUAGCCGCGGUAAUACGGAGGAUCCAAGCGUUAUCCGGAUUUAUUGGGUUUAAAGGGUGCGUAGGCGGCUUAUUAAGUCAGGGGUGAAAGGCGGUAGCUUAACUAUCGGAGUGCCCUUGAUACUGAUGAGCUUGAAUGCAGCUGAGGUAGGCGGAAUGUGACAAGUAGCGGUGAAAUGCAUGGAUAUGUCACAGAACACCGAUUGCGAAGGCAGCUUACUAAAGUGCGAUUGACGCUGAGGCACGAAAGCGUGGGGAUCAAACAGGAUUAGAUACCCCCGUAGUCCCUGUCUCUUAUAC
rnacentral:rRNA from 1 species